CGGGGUGAGUAACGCGUGAGGAACCUGCCUUGGAUGGGGAAUAACAGUUAGAAAUAGCUGCUAAUACCGCAUAAUGCAACUAGGUCGCAUGACUUUGGUUGCCAAAGAUUUAUCGCUCUGAGAUGGCCUCGCGUCCGAUUAGAUAGUUGGCGGGGUAACGGCCCACCAAGUCGACGAUCGGUAGCCGGACUGAGAGGUUGGCCGGCCACAUUGGGACUGAGACACGGCCCAGACUCCUACGGGAGGCAGCAG
rnacentral:rRNA from 1 species